UGGAGGAAUUCCCUACUGAACGAUUUUACGGUGGGCAGAUACUCUGGGAAUUGCCAAAAUCUUAAACUGGAGAAAAAGUGGGAGAUCUAUUGUCCUUUGAAGAUAAUUUUAUUGCAGCAAGAAAGACAGUAGAGGAAAGUUCUCCAUGAAUGUACGUCACAAUGAUGAUGACAGACCAGAUCCCACUGGACCUGCCACCUUUACUGAAUGGGGAGAUGCCUAUGAUGCCUCACAUGGUUAAUGGGGAUGGAUCACAGCAGGUCAUUUUGGUUCAAGUCAACCCUGGAGAAACAUUUACAAUAAGAGCAGAAGAUGGGUCCUUGCAGUGUAUUCAAGG